rnacentral:rRNA from 1 species
CGCCUCCUGCAAAAAUCAAUGUAUAGGAGGUCCUGCCUGCCCAGUGAUAAAUUAAACGGCCGCGGUAUUUUGACCGUGCAAAGGUAGCGCAAUCACUUGUCUUUUAAAUGAAGACCCGUAUGAAUGGUGGAACGAGGGCUUAACUGUCUCCCCUCUCAAGUCAAUGAAAUUGAUCUAUCCGUGCAGAAGCGGACAUAAUAAUACAAGACGAGAAGACCCUUUGGAGCUUAAGAUAAAAAAUCAAUUAUGUCAAGAACCUCAAAAAUAAGUUAAACCAAAUACACCUGAUUUCAUAUCUUCGGUUGGGGCGACCGCGGGAGAAAACAAAGCUCCCACGCGGAUUGGGGUAAAACCCUAAAGCCAAGAAAGACAUUUCUAAGACACAAAACAUUUGACCAAAAGAUCCGGCAAACUCGCCGAUCAACGGACCAAGUUACCCUAGGGAUAACAGCGCAAUCCCCUUCCAGAGUCCAUAUCGACAAGGGGGUUUACGACCUCGAUGUUGGAUCAGGACAUCCUAAUGGUGCAGCCGCUAUUAAGGGUUCGUUUGUUCAACGAUUAAAGUCCU